GCGGUGUGGACUCGGUGGAGGUGGACGUGGAGAUGGAGAAGGUGACGGUGACGGGGUACGUAGACCGGCACCGGGUGCUCAAGGAGGUCCGGCGCGCCGGCAAGAAGGCGGAGUUCUGGCCCAACCCGGACCUGCCGCUGCACUUCACCUCCGCCAAGGACUACUUCCACGACGAGGAGUCGUACCGCCGCACCUACAACUACUACCGCCACGGCUACAACGGCGACAAGCACGGCCAGCUCCACGAGCCGCACCGCGGCGCCGACCCCGUCAGCAACAUGUUCAACGACGACGACGUCAACGCCUGCUCCAUCAUGUAGCUACUAAUAGCUAGUAGCCGCC
rnacentral:lncRNA from 1 species